UUCCGGUUGAUCCUGCCGGAGGUCACUGCUAUUGGGAUUCGACUAAGCCAUGCGAGUCGAGAGGGUUCGGCCCUCGGCUGACGGCUCAGUAACACGUGGAUAAUCUGCCCUUAGGUGGAGGAUAAUCUCGGGAAACUGAGGAUAAUACUCCAUAGAUCUAGGAUGCUGGAAUGCUUCUAGAUUUAAAGCUCCGGCGCCUAAGGAUGAGUCUGCGGACUAUCAGGUUGUAGUCAGGGUAAAGACCUGACUAGCCUACGACGGAUACGGGUUGUGAGAGCAAUAACCCGGAGACGAUAUCUGAGACACGAUAUCGGGCCCUACGGGGCGCAGCAGGCGCGAAAACUUCACACUGUGCGAAAGCGCGAUGAGGGAAUCCCAAGUGUUUGCUCGUAAGAGUAAACUGUUUCUUUGUUUAAAAUGCAGAGAGAGUAAGGGCUGGGUAAGACGGGUGCCAGCCGCCGCGGUAAUACCUGCAGCUCAAGUGGUGAUCAUUAUUAUUGGGCCUAAAACGUCCGUAGCCGGUUUAGUAAAUGCCUGGGUAAAUCGUGUAGCUUAACUAUACGACUUCCGGGUAGACUGCUAAACUUGAGACCGGGAGAGGCUAGAGGUACUCCUGGGGUAGAGGUGAAAUUCUGUAAUCCUAGGGGGACCACCAGUGGCGAAGGCGUCUAGCUAGAACGGGUCUGACGGUGAGGGACGAAGCCCUGGGGCACAAACCGGAUUAGAUACCCGGGUAGUCCAGGGUGUAAACGCUGCUUGCUUGAUGUUAGUUGGGCUCCGAGCCCAACUAGUGUCGGAGAGAAGUUGUUAAGCAAGCUGCCUGGGAAGUACCGUCGCAAGGCUGAAACUUAAAGAAUUGGCGGGGAGCAUAGCACGGGUGGAGCGUGCGGUUAAUUGGAUUCAACGCCGGA
rnacentral:rRNA from 1 species